CAGUACGUUCGUAAACUAUAACCACUGCAUGUGUGACAUACAUUUCGAUCAAGUUUCAAUCCUGUUACAAAGCCUUUGUCAACAGUGAGCGAGUGGGGAAAAAGCCCAAAGGCUCUGUGGAAUGAAGGAAAUCACUGGACGGGCUUAUCUUGGAAGACCGGAAUUCGUGCUGAGAGAUUGAACCAGGGGCCUUGUGCAUGCUAGGCAGGCACUCUGUCACUGAGAUACAUCCCCAGCCAGCCCUGCAAUUCCGUGAUCAGAGGGAAUAAAAGCAUAUUAUAAGAUUUCUUCCUUGCCCAAGAUACAGUUGAAAAAAACGUGUUUCAGAUGAGUCAUUUAAGCGGAAUAAUUUUCCUUUGGAUUACUAGAGUCACAGAAGGAAAAAAAAAAGCAUGAUGUCUCUUCCUCUUUAGCAGCCAAUGGCAGGCUCAUCAGCAGGGAACAGUGUCAGCCCAAGCCCCUUGUGCUUGUGUAUCAUCAUUCUGAGCCAGGAACAAACGUGCCUGCAAAGAGCCCUCUUCCUCCUUUCCAUCAUCAUCCUGACAUUUUAACAACCACAAUCAUAACAGAAGUUAUUAACUACGAUCAAAGCUGCCUGUGCACAAUACAAAGGAUCAGGUGAACCACAGAAACAGAAGAGCAUGGUGUUCGUGACCUUUGCCAGAACCAGCGAGUAGAUCGUGACACUCAUUUGGAACAGCAGUGCCCUGCAUGGAGGUCUCAAGCAUUGUUUCUUUGGCGAAGGAGACGUUUCUGAAAAAUGUAAAGCCAGCAUUUCUACCAUUCACCUGUCUUGUUAUUUUGUAUAUUGCUGUAGAUGCUCUGCUAGGGAAAUUUGAUCAAUAUAAUAGAUUCCUAGCAGGAAGAUGCUAUAGGACAAUUUGUGUAUGCUUGACAUAGCUCAAUUUCCAUCCAUCCAAGAAGAUAUUGAUUUUUCUCGCACGGAAGUGCACACACACAUACUAAGAGCGCUUACAGAGAAUGGGGGUUGGGCAGGCACUUAUUCAAGAACAGAUAGCUCUGCCAUAUCCAACUGCAUUCAAAAUACCUUCCGGCUUGCUGACCUAAUAUUUGGAUGAUCUAUAUAAAUUCCUCACAUCAGGUGUAAAUCAGUGACUGAUAAGCAAAAAUAGUAUUCACAUGCUUUUUUUCUUUCAGUACUAGUGGUUGAACAAAGGGCCUUUGCACUGAGCUGUAUCUCUGAUUCUUUUUUAAAAUUUAUUUUGUAUUUUGAGGCAGGGUCUCUAAUUGGCUAAGUGGUCCAGCUGGACUCAAACUUGUAAUCCUCUUGCCUCAGCCUCUUUGGAUGCUAAGAACCCUUUUAGGUUCACAAACAUUUUAGAAAAUGUGACUGUUCUUUUACUUCAUAUGAAAUGUCUUCCUGAAGUUAUAUUUUCCUAACCCAAUAUAGAAUUAAUUUUACAGUACUGGAUCACAACUUGCUUGUCUCAUACCUGAAAAUAUAAUAAAAUUUCCUGUGGGCCUCUGUUA